UACAGAGGGGGCGAGCGUUAUUCGGAAUUAUUGGGCGUAAAGGGCGCGUAGGCGGCUUUUCAAGUGACGGGUGAAAUCCCUCGGCUUAACCGAGGAACUGCCUGUCAGACUGGAAGGCUUGAGACCGGGAGAGGUGAGUGGAAUUCCCAGUGUAGCGGUGAAAUGCGUAGAUAUUGGGAGGAACACCGGUGGCGAAGGCGGCCCGCUGGGCAGGAAGGCUCGCAAGAGCCGGCUGACGCUGAGGCGCGACAGCGUGGGGAGCAAACAGG
rnacentral:rRNA from 1 species